rnacentral:rRNA from 1 species
GAUGAACGCUGGCGGCGUGCCUAAUACAUGCAAGUCGAACGAAUCUUCUUCGGAAGAUGAGUGGCGAACGGGUGAGUAAUACAUAGGUAACCUGCCCCUGUGCGGGGGAUAACAGGAGGAAACUCCUGCUAAUACCGCAUAUCCAUGAGCACCGCAUGGAGCUCAUGCCAAAUAACCCUUCGUGGAUAGCGCAGGGAUGGACCUAUGGCGCAUUAGCUGGUUGGCGGGGCAACGGCCCACCAAGGCAACGAUGCGUAGCCGGCCUGAGAGGGCGGACGGCCACAUUGGGACUGAGACACGGCCCAGACUCCUACGGGAGGCAGCAGUAGGGAAUUUUCGGCAAUGGGGGAAACCCUGACCGAGCAACGCCGCGUGAGCGAAGAAGGCCUUCGGGUCGUAAAGCUCUGUUGUAAAGGAAGAACGGCGCAUACAGGAAAUGGUAUGCGAGUGACGGUACUUUACCAGAAAGCCACGGCUAACUACGUGCCAGCCGCCGCAGUAA